GAUCAUUAUCGUAAAACCGAGGUGCGAGGGCUGUCGCUGACCUUUUCGGUCGUGCACGCCCGAGUGCUCUCACACAAUCCAUCUCACCCCUUGUGCACCACCGCGUGGGUCCCUCUCUGGCUCGUCCGGAGGGGGGCUCGCGUUUUCACACAAACUUGAAGUAGUGUAGAAUGUCCUUUUUUUGCGAUAACACGCAAUCAAUACAACUUUCAACAACGGAUCUCUUGGCUCUCGCAUCGAUGAAGAACGCAGCGAAAUGCGAUACGUAAUGUGAAUUGCAGAAUUCAGUGAAUCAUCGAAUCUUUGAACGCACCUUGCGCCCCUUGGCAUUCCGAGGGGCACACCCGUUUGAGUGUCGUGAAAUUCUCAAAACCCUUUCUUUUGGUCAUUUUUGACCAUUGAAAGGAUUUUGGACUUGGAGGCCUUUUUGCUGGUUUCACCUUGAAGCGAGCUCCUCCCAAAUGUAUUAGUGGGGUCUGCAUUGUCGGUCCUUGGCGUGAUAAGUUGUUUCUACGUCUUGGAUUUUUGGCGCUGUACACCUGCUUCUAACCGUCUCAUUGACAACGAUGGUGUUUCGGUCGCCGCNGAUUUUUCGGUGGGAGGCUUGACCCACGAAACAAACCUUGACCUC
rnacentral:rRNA from 1 species